GAGCCACGCCAGAGAGAAGUGCACGUACGUGUGACAGGGAGGCCGCGUACUUCGAGCAAUAGUAUUAGUGAACAACAACGAAAAGAAGGAUUCCACAUCUUUCCGCAUUUCUCCAACGCGCUUGACCUGCUGCGCCCGCACAUGGAAAACGGGAAGCACACACACACACACACACACGUUCAUGUACAUGCAUAUGCGUACACGCAGUACGCCCAUCUGUGCACUUUGGGAUCUCGUCAGUGCUGAACACCUUAGCAACUAAUCUUCUCUGCGGGCACUCACAAGCACACACGUGUUCUUUUUUCUUCCGUUGGCCAACGUAUCGCUUUUCUUUUAUAUUGUUGGUGCCGCGCCGCGUUUGGUGGGGAACCUGACAGCUCCCCCCUUCCCCUUCUCCGAACCCGCAGGUGAAACAGAGCACGGGCACGCGCGUAUACCUCGUAGAACGUCGAGUGUGAAGAGCCACCUUGGACUUUUCUCUCUUCGUGUGUGUGCGCCAUUCCUUGCUCUCUAUCUGUCGGUGCUGCAUCUCAAUACGCACAUCUUGUUUCAGCUGCUUCCCACCCCUCUGCUAACCCUCGCCACAACCACACACACACACACACUCUUAUACAG
rnacentral:misc_RNA from 1 species